rnacentral:lncRNA from 1 species
GAUAAAAGCAACCUUUGAGUGCUCAAAUAAAACCACUAAAAGGGGACCACAAUUCAUGAGAGAGAGAGAGAGCCCGACGGGGACUUCUUUUCGAAAAAUAUCAAAUCAGUUGGAGCUAUAAAAAUAAUUUUAAAAACAUAUGAAAGCUGUAUUUGAUCUUAUGCUUUGUAUAUUUAUUGAACCGAAAUACAUUUUUUUUGUCUUUUUGUUAUUUCAAAAUUUCAAAUGUUAUUAUUAUACCUUUCACUGCACGUAAUAAUUUUUGAAAAAAAUUAUAUUUUUUGAAUCUAUUUAUUGAGAUUUAUCAAAAACAAAUCAAUAUUAAGUAGUUUAUUGAGAAUUUUCACAUAUUGAAAUAUAAAUUUUUAUAGUGUGAAGAUUAUGAGAUCUUUUGUAAAAAUUCUUAGUGACAGUGGUAGCAGCCGCAAUAGGUGAUUGAUUGUGGAGUUGGGUGAUUGUGGUGAUUGGUAGUCACUAGUGGUGAUUUGUGACGACAAUGGGUGAUGAUUUUGGGUGUUUAGCGGUAGUUGUGUUGAUUGGAAGUGGUGAUAAUGAUGGUUGUGGAUUAUGAAAAUUCACAAUUGUGUAUCAGAAAAAAUCAUAGUGUUGGAUGAAAAUUCUCAGUAGCUAUGAUAGCGAUCGUGUUUUGUGUUGGUGCUAGGCGACGAUGGUGGUUGGUGGCUAUUGUAGACUGUAAAAUUCACAUCCUUGCACUAUAAAAUCAUAGUCCCAUACUGUAAAAGUUCUUAAUUUCAAUGAAGGCCAGGGUGACAGAGGUAGAGGCAAAUGGUGGUUGUGGGGGGUGUUCGUGGUGGUUCCUUAGGAAGGGGGAUUGGAGACUGUGAAAUUUUACAAUCCUACACAAUAAAAAUUUACAAUCCCAUACCCCAUACGUGAAAUCCGAGUAAUGGUGUCUACAAGAGAUUUUUGCUGGAGUGAUUGACCGGUAUUGCGAAAGCAAUUUGUUAUUUAUGGUGGUUGGCGAUGGCAGUGAAGAACUAUUGUUUUGUAGAUAUAUUGGGUAGUGGCAGCAGCAACAACGAUUAAUGGUGAUUGGUAGGGAUGGUGGAGGUGGGUUUGUUGGAAGUAGAGAUUGGUGUUGGGCGGCAACGACGACGAUGGUGGGGUGGGGUGGUUGACAGCGGUGGGUGGUAGUUAUGGUGGUUAGCGGUGGUGACGGUGGCAACGGUGGUAGUAGUUGUGGUGGUUGCUAACAAUGGUAGUGAUGGAUGGUGGUGGGUGAUUGUUUAUAGUAGUGGUUAGUGGCGACAAUGAUAGGUGUUGGGGGUGAUAGUGGUUGCCAAUUAACAGCGAUGGUAGGUAGUGUUAGUGGUAGUUGGUGGUUAAUGUUGGGGUGCGUAGGGGCCAUAUGGUGAUGAGCGAUGGAUAGUAGAUAGUGGUAAUUGGAGUACGAAAAUCACUAACCAUUUUAUAUUUAUGAGAUUAUUUUAAAUACUUUUAUGUGAUUGAAAUUAUUUUUUUCAAACUGCUGAUAUGAUAUUAGUGUUACUUACCACUAACAUUAAAUAUUUUCAUUGAUAAACGGACGAGUCAUGAUGACUAUAAGACUGUUGACCGUGGGCUUCGAGAAGGAUAUUUGCAGAUAAAAUUAAUGAUACAAUUUAAUUAGUUAAAAUUUUAUGAGUCAAGAGCUGCGUAGGUAUGAGUUUAAAAAGUAGGACUGACCUAGAAGAACCCGUUAAAGAUUUACGAAAAAUUUUGUAAAAAAAAAAAGAUUAAAUCUAAACCGUUGGAUUCAAUCUAUUUUCAGAGUUGUAGAAAAUAGGUUAUUGUGAACAACAAUUAAGCUCCACUUGGGAUUAGAGAAAUUUGAGACGUGUCUAGGGAUGGAUAGGAUUCUUUUAUUUAUUUAUGUGCAACCCACUUUACUUGUUUUGGGCAUGAAGAAAUAAAAUUGGAGGGGCUUCUAAGAAAAGACCACACAGCCACUCCAACAUAUUCGAUUCGCUGACUGUGUUUUCCGCAAGGCCGUUUGGCUACCGAAUGUGGAGUGGGGAUAAUUUUUUUUCCCGAAUAAUUUUUUCCUCCUGGCGUUUGGCUGGCGGAUAUGAAAGCGGAUAAUUAUGCUCCCGAAUAAUUUAUGCCACGGAGGUGGAUAAAGACGGAUAAUUUUUGAGUGACCUAAACCCUCCGUGGCAUAAAGACGGAUAAUUUUUGAGUGACCUAAACCCUAACUAAAAGUUAUACGGGGUAUAAAGGGUUAGGAUAGAAAAAAAUAUAUAAACAGAAAUAAAUGUAUAAUUUUUUUAAUAUAAAUAGAAAUAAUAUCUAUUUUUAAUAACUAAAUAUUUUCUAUUUUGUUUUCUGUCUAUAUAUUUUUUAUCCUUAAUCCUCCACCCUUAUCUACCCAUUCUAAAAAGUAUCCAAUAAAUUAAAAAGUUAUCUCCUCCAAAAGUUAUCCCACUAAAUUUAUCCCCUCUAAUUAUCCCCCCCAUAUCCCUCCAGCCAACCUAAGCCCUGAUGAUCUUAGAAUAGCAAU